rnacentral:rRNA from 1 species
GCAAGUCGAGGGGUAACAUUGUAGCUUGCUACAGAUUACGACCGGCGCAAGGGAGAGUAACGCGUAUGCAACCUACCAUUAACAGGAGGAUAGCCCAGGGAAACUUGGAUUAAUACUCCAUAAAAGUAUGAUACGGCAUGGUAUUAUAAUUAAAGCUCCGGCGGUUAAUGAUGGGCAUGCGUGCCAUUAGAUUGUUGGUGAGGUAACGGCUCACCAAGUCGACGAUGGCUACGGGGUCUGAAAGGAUGGUC